rnacentral:rRNA from 1 species
ACGAACGCUGGCGGCGUGCUUCACCCCUGCCCGUCGAACGGAAAGGCCCUGCUUGCAGGGUACUCGAGUGGCGAACGGGUGAGUAACACGUGGGUGAUCUGCCCUGCACUUCGGGAUAAGCCUGGGAAACUGGGUCUAAUACCGGAUAGGAGCCAUUUUUAGUGUGAUGGUUGGAAAGUUUUUUCGGUGUAGGAUGAGCUCGCGGCCUAUCAGCUUGUUGGUGGGGUAAUGGCCUACCAAGGCGGCGACGGGUAGCCGGCCUGGGAGGGUGGACGGCCACAUUGGGACUGAGAUACGGCCCAGACUCCUACGGGAGGCAGCAGUGGGGAAUAUUGCACAAUGGGCGCAAGCCUGAUGCAGCGACGCCGCGUGGGGGAUGACGGCCUUCGGGUUGUAAACUCCUUUCGCUAGGGACGAAGCUUUUUGUGACGGUACCUAGAUAAGAAGCACCGGCUAACUACGUG